CACCGGCAGCUCUAGUGGUAACAAUUUUUAUUGGGCCUAAAGCGUCCGUAGCCGGUUUAAUAAGUCUCUGGUGAAAUCCUGUAGCUUAACUGUGGGAAUUGCUGGAGAUACUAUUAGACUUGAGACCGGGAGAGGUUAGAGGUACUCCCAGGGUAGAGGUGAAAUUCUGUAAUCCUGGGAGGACCGCCUGUUGCGAAGGCGUCUAACUGGAACGGUUCUGACGGUGAGGGACGAAAGUUAGGGGCGCGAACCGGAUUAGAUACCCGGGUAGUCCUAACUGUAAACGAUGCGGACUUGGUGUUGGGGUGGCUUUGAGCUGCUCCAGUGCCGAAGGGAAGCUGUUAAGUCCGCCGCCUGGGAAGUACGGUCGCAAGACUGAAACUCAAAUGAAUUGGCGGGG
rnacentral:rRNA from 1 species